rnacentral:rRNA from 1 species
GAAGCUGGAAUCGCUAGUAAUCGCGAAUCAGAAUGUCGCGGUGAAUACGUUCCCGGGUCUUGUACACACCGCCCGUCACACCAUGGGAGUCGGAUAUGCCCGAAGCCGGUGACCUAACCGCAAGGAAGGAGCCGUCGAAGGUGGAGCCAUGACUGGGGUGAAGUCGUAACAAGGUAGC